UGGGGAAUUUUGGACAAUGGGCGAAAGCCUGAUCCAGCAAUGCCGCGUGUGUGAAGAAGGCCUUCGGGUUGUAAAGCACUUUUGUCCGGAAAGAAAUCCUUGGCUCUAAUACAGUCGGGGGAUGACGGUACCGGAAGAAUAAGCACCGGCUAACUACGUGCCAGCAGCCGCGGUAAUACGUAGGGUGCAAGCGUUAAUCGGAAUUACUGGGCGUAAAGCGUGCGCAGGCGGUUUGCUAAGACCGAUGUGAAAUCCCCGGGCUCAACCUGGGAACUGCAUUGGUGACUGGCAGGCUAGAGUAUGGCAGAGGGGGGUAGAAUUCCACGUGUAGCAGUGAAAUGCGUAGAGAUGUGGAGGAAUACCGAUGGCGAAGGCAGCCCCCUGGGCCAAUACUGACGCUCAUGCACGAAAGCGUGGGGAGCAAACAGGAUUAGAUACCCUGGUAGUCCACGCCCUAAACGAUGUCAACUAGUUGUUGGGGAUUCAUUUCCUUAGUAACGUAGCUAACGCGUGAAGUUGACCGCCUAGGGAGUACGGUCGCAAGAUUAAAACUCAAAUGAAUUGACGGGGUCAUAGCUGUUUCCU
rnacentral:rRNA from 1 species